UGUGUCUGGUUACGGGUUCCCUAGAAGGAGACGUCUUUGUGUGGAACCCAGCCCUGGACUGUUUACCUCACAAACGGUGCUACCACAGCCUUGGGUGCUCCUGCAGGCAAAGCGCAGAGCAUCCUGGGAAAUGUAGUUCCCAUCCGCCUUAUAACUCAGGGGGCCCUUUGUCUCUUCCAGUGGGAGCCUGUGUUGCCUGCUGUGGCCUUGACUGCCUGGGCUCAACCAGUCCUGCCUCAGCCUGCAGAGUAGCCCGGACCUCGGGCGCACUUCACCAAACCCACAGGCCCUGCUUUGGGCGCAGAGCCGGCACCUGGCCUGCCAGGACGUGGCUCUGGCUCUCGAGCCAUCUGGAGGGCAGCGCAGUUCCUAGGGUUGCACGGCACCGAGGUUACUAAUCAUCAGAUUUCCAUCCCUCCCCAUAAUUUUACAAGUCUCCCCCACCCACUAAAAGCCAAAUCAAGCUCUUCUCACUUUUUAAUUUCUAUUAGUGCUUCCUGGUUGUACUUCUCUGCUAACCUUGGGCAAUAAUUAAGAUAGCAAAUAAGCCAAACAAGAGGUCUGGCACUUGCUUAAAACAAAG
rnacentral:lncRNA from 1 species